rnacentral:misc_RNA from 1 species
UCUCUUCUGUGGCGGCAGAGCUACUGGCGUUCACCAAUAUCAUACCAGAAUGGCUUUCCAAAGUCCAGCAAGAGAAGCUGUUUUCUGGUGAGCCAUUGUAUUCGCACAUCGAGCUCAUGAAAGGAAAGAAGCUAUAUGUGUUUCCUGCUAUUCAUUCACCCAAUCUGAUGUACGGAAUAUCUUUGUUAUGCAAAUAUAUUUCU